rnacentral:rRNA from 1 species
GUGCUGUUAUAGGGAAAGAACACCUGGUUGAGGAAAUGCUUCCAGGCUGACGGUACCCUGUCAGAAAGCGAUGGCUAACUAUGUGCCAGCAGCCGCGGUAAUACAUAGGUCGCAAGCGUUAUCCGGAAUUAUUGGGCGUAAAGCGUUCGUAGGCUGUUUAUUAAGUCUGGAGUCAAAUCCCAGGGCUCAACCCUGGCUCGCUUUGGAUACUGGUAAACUAGAGUUAGAUAGAGGUAAGCGGAAUUCCAUGUGAAGCGGUGAAAUGCGUAGAUAUAUGGAAGAACACCAAAGGCGAAGGCAGCUUACUGGGUCUAUACUGACGCUGAGGGACGAAAGCGUGGGGAGCAAACAGGAUUAGAUACCCUGGUAGUCCACGCCGUAAACGAUGAUCAUUAGUCGGUGGAGAGUUCACUGACGCAGCUAACGCAUUAAAUGAUCCGCCUGAGUAGUAUGCUCGCAAGAGUGAAACUUAAAGGAAUUGACGGGGACCCGCACAAGCGGUGGAGCAUGUGGUUUAAUUUGAAGAUACGCGGAGAACCUUACCC